CAGUAGCCGCGGGAAUACGUAGGGUGCAAGCGUUAAUCGGAAUUACUGGGCGUAAAGCGUGCGCAGGCGGUUUGUUAAGACAGAUGUGAAAUCCCCGGGCUCAACCUGGGAACUGCAUUUGUGACUGGCAGGCUAGAGUAUGGCAGAGGGGGGUGGAAUUCCGCGUGUAGCAGUGAAAUGCGUAGAUAUGCGGAGGAACACCGAUGGCGAAGGCAGCCCCCUGGGCCAAUACUGACGCUCAUGCACGAAAGCGUGGGGAGCAAACAGGAUUAGAUACCCCUGUAGUCCCUGUCUCUUAUAU
rnacentral:rRNA from 1 species